rnacentral:lncRNA from 1 species
AGAGCGUCGCCGCCCGUAGGCCCGGCUGGGCUCCGCUGCCCUCGCCUUGGCUCCGGGGCCGCCCGCGCCUCGCCCCCUCCCCGCGCCCCGCGGACGCGGGAGUGAGCGCUGCGGCAUCCGGGGGAACGCCGCGGCGGGUUUGUACAGCAGGAGGAGGCAACUCCAAAGCGCGGCUCUAAUAAGAGCCUAAACGUGCCCAAGAAGCGGCAAGUUGAGGAAAUGUGCGCGUUUCCCUUGUUUCCCGGUGGAUUGGUCCUUUUGCACAAGCGGCAGGGUUUAGUUGCUUUUCACAACUUUACUGGACAGUGCCCUAAACAUCCGCAGCCUUCGCCAAGAAAAAGUUCCUGGUCAUCUAUUUAGUAACUGAACUCAAUUGUUUUAACUGCACAGGGAGGGAACAUUAGAAACCAAAGCCUUGGAUUCGGGUUGGGGCAGGCGGCGAGGGAAACAGGCAUGCAGCAGCUCCUUGCAGGAAAUGCCCGCUGCAUAGGAUCCAGGGACUGGAGUGGCACAAUGAGCGCAUUUGUCUGCAAGGCGGGAAGGGGACCCUAGAAUGCACAACACUUGAAUAGGUGAAAAGGGAACCCGUCUGUUUCGGAAGAUGAAUUGUUCUAAAGGAAUUUUGCCCUAGGAUACUUGGAGUAAAGGUAAAUACAGUAUUUCUUAGAUGGAUUAGGAGAUGCUGCUAGUAAAAAGCCUUCUCUCUCGUGCAGCGCAAAAUAAGGUACCAAUUUAAAAAUACUUAUCGAUGUUAAAAGAUAGGGAUGUAUCGUGGAACCCCGAACACUGCUGUCCUCUUGUUGAAAGUCAUUUUUCAACAAUCAUUCCCAAAUUCACUCAAAGGGAGAGAGGAACAUAAGGGCAGGAUCGUACUUUUGGAGAGUUUUGGAAUCAAGGUAGUUCCUAAGAGCUGUGCGCAGAGCCCCGUGAAACUGGGAAAGUAAGGCCCUUCUUGAGGUUUCAGAGCCUUCAUUCUACUUCAUUGGCAGCUUUAGUAUAGGGCCUGGCUACUGAGAAGGUAACAGGGAUAACUCACCAAGUGCUUUUAUAUUUACUUUCAAAAUCUCAAAUUCUGUCACAGAUUUCUCCACCGUCUCCCAUCUUCAGGCCUAGCCAUGAUCUUUUACUGACACUUGCAGUAGCCUCCUAACUGGUCCCUUGCUUGUCUUCCUACAGUUCAUUUCCAGACAGUAGCCGAGGGAUGUUUUUCUUAGAUAAAUCAGAUCAGGUCACUCCCUUACUUAAAUCCCUUAAAUACUUUCUCAUUGCCCAUUUGAUACCAUCAUAACUUCUCACCAUGGCCUGAAGGCCCAGCCCAGCCUGCCGCAGCUCACACCACCUUCCCUUGCUCCCUGACUCUCCUCCUGCCACACUGGCCUUUCUGUUACUUGACAAGAAGCAGUGUUUUCAUAGGUAGGACAAUUGUGUCUCUUCACACAGGGUGCUGUUGCUCUUGUCCUUUCCAUAGCUGACUCCUCCUCCUUCAAUCUUCCUGAAAGAGGUCCCCUAAUCACUCCAUCUAAAGGAGCAUUUACUGUGGCUUGAGAAAGUACUGCACUCAGUUCUGUGCAUGCCAGGUUCUCACAAUCAGAAGUCACUGCUUUGAGGCCGGGUGUGGUGGCUCUCGCCUGUAAUCCGAGCACUUUGGGAGACCGAGGCGGGUGGAUCACCUGAGGUUAGGAGUUCGAGACCAGCCUGGCCAACAUGGUGAAAUCCCGUCUGUACUAAAAAUACAAAAAAAGUAGCCAGGCGUGGUGGCACGCCCUUGUAGUCCCAGCUACUCGGGAGGCCGAGGCAGGAGAUUCGCUUGAACCCGGGAGGCGGAGGUUGCAGCGUGCCGAGAUCGCGUGACUGCACUCCAGCCGGGGCAACAAGAGUGAAGCUCUGUCUCAAAAAGAGAAACAAAAAAGAAAAGAACGGAAAAAAAAGGCGCUGCUUUGGCCUGUGAGGGAUUAUUUAUUAGGUCAUACAUGAAAUGAGUGUUGAUGGAAUUACUUAGGCCUGAGAAAUUAAAAUGCAAUACAAGCUAAAGGAUAAAAUCAGUGGUUAACAUGCUUCACAAUUUGAUUUAAUAAAGCUUCCGCAUUCAGAAUGGUAACAGAGGGCAUAGUUUGAUCAGGGUAAGCAGAGGGGGAAGAUACAGAGAGCAGCCUAAACACAAUCUUUUUUUUUGCGGGGUGUUGGGGCGGGGCUGGACGGAGUCUCGCUCUGUAGCCAGGCUGGAGUGCAGUGGCACGAUCUCGGCUCACUGCAACCUCCACCUUCUGGGUUCAAGCGAUUCUCGUGCCUCAGCCUCCUGAGUAGCGGGGAUUACAGGCACGUGCCACCACACCCAGCUAAUUUUUGUAUUUUUAGUAGAGAUGGGGUUUCACCAUGUUGGCCAGGAUGGUCUUGAUCUCCUGACCUUGUGAUCCGCUUGCCUUGGCCUCCCAAAGUGCUGGGAUUAUAGCCGCGCCCGGCUUUUAUUUUUUAUUUAUUUAUUUUUUGAGACUGAGUUUUGCUCUUGUCGCCCAGGCUGGAGUGCAAUGACGCGAUCUCGGCUCACCGCAACCUCCGCCUUCCGGGUUCAAGCGAUUCUCCUGCCUUAACCUCCCAAGUAGCUAGGACUACAGGCAACCGACGCCACGUUCGGCUAAUUUUUGUAUUUUUAGUAGAGACGGGGUUUCACCAUGUUGGCCAGGCUGAUCUCAAACUCCUGACCUCCAGUGAUUCACCCUCCUCGGCCUCCCAAAGUGCUGGGAUUACAGGCAUGAGCCACCUCGCCCAGCCUAAACACAAUCUUAAUAUAAGAAGGCGAUAAAGCAAGAGAAGGGUUAGAGGGGAGCCUGGGGUUCCAGUGCAAUGACUAUAUACAAAAUUUAUACACAACUACAUACAGAGUGUGAAAACAGUACCCGUGUGUGUGUGUCUGUGUGUGUGUGUGUAUGUAUGUACGCUAGGAUUCUGAUUGCCAGUAUAACCAGCCAAUUUGAGCUAGUUUAAGCAUAAAAUAAUAAUUCAUUAUUACAGUACAGGUUUUUCUCAUGUAACCAAAAGUCAGAAAUGUAGCUGAGUCCAAGGGAGGGACUUGAACCAAAAUAGAAAACCUAAGAGGCAAUGUAAUCUCUGCUUAUCUGCUUAAUUUUUCUAUUGCUUUACCCAAUUCUCUGUUUUAUCUAGUGGAAUCUAUUACUUUUGGUUUUAUAGUUCUAGACAACUUGAGGACCUGAAUGACGACCUCUUCCUUCCCAAAUCCAAAUUCCCAAGGAAAGAAAUAAGGAAUUUCAUUGACCCAGCUUGGAUUAGGUGACCAUCACCAAGAAACUGACCACUAAUUUGGUUCUCAAAAGACUGAUAGGAAAUAGUGGUCAGGAGUACUUCAGUCAUUGGAAGAGAUAUUUCAUAAUCUAAAGUUUCUGGUGUUCUCCUGUAAAUGUUAUCAUCAGAUUGUCCCUGAGGACUAAAUAGUUUCUGGGAGUAACUUAUAGAAAUGAAUUCAGCCAUGGCCAAGAGGUCAGAGUCAAAAAUAGUCUAGAGCAGUAGUCACCAUAGAACUUUCUGGGGUCAUGGAAAUGUUCUGAAUCUGUGCGGCCCAAUUCAGUAGCACUAGCCCUGUGUGGCUACUGUGCACUUGAAAUACGGCUAGGGCAGCUGAGGAAGAUAAUUUCCAAUUUUAUUUUACUUUAAUUGACUCAUGUUUAAGUAUGUGGCUAGUGGCUACCAUAUUGGAAAGCAUAGGUCUAGCUAGAGGGUACUCGCUCCCAUGGACAGGGCACUUCUUAGAUAAGGGAUAAUUGUGAGGUAGCACUAAGCAAAAAAAAAAAAAAAAAAAAAAAAAAAAAAAACAACGUGAAUUAUCAGCUAUUAGAAGGAAUAAUAUAUGUUUAUGAGGUACUUUUAAAACGGGGCAAAAACCUGGAGCAUUGUCUAAAUUAAAACUAAUUCCCACCCAAUUGGAAAAAAGAAAACUUAGGAAGCAAACAUUCCAGAAUGCUUAGUAAAUUAGGGUAUAGAGACAAAUGAAUUAUUAUACUACCAAUAAAAUGAUUUUUAAAAGAUUGUGGGAAACUAUUUGGCAGUUCCUCAAAAAACUAAGCAUAGAAUUGCCAUAUGAUCUAGCAAGUUCACGUAUGUGUAUGUAGCCAAAAGAACUGAAAGCAGAGACUUGAACAUGCAUGUUCAGAACAGUGUUACUCACAAUCGUUAAAAGGUGGCAGCAACCCAAAUGUCCAUUGAUGGAUGAAUGGAUAAACAAAAUGUGGUACAAUGGAAUAUUCAGCCUUAAAAAAUGAAGGAAAUUCAAGGCCCAGCACGGUGGCUCACGCCUGUAAUCUCAACACUGUGGGAGGCCAAGACAGGCAGAUCACCCGAGGUCAGGAGUUCGAGACCAGCCUGGCCAACAUGGUGAAACCCCAUCGCUACUAAAAAUACAAAAAUUAGCUAGGCGUGGUGGUGCGCUCCUGUAAUCCCAGCUACUCGGGAGGCUGAGGCAAGAGAAUUGCUUGAACCUGGGAGGCGGAGGUUGCAGUGAGUCAAGAUCAUGCCAUUGCACUCCAGCCUGGGUGACAAGAGCAAAACUCCGUCUCAAAAAAAAAAGAAGGAAAUUCUGAUACAUGCUAUAACACAGUUUUACCUUGAAGACAUUGUGCUAAGAGAAAAAAAGCCAGUUACAAAAGAACAAGUACUGUAUGAUUCCGCUUAUAUAAGCUACCUAGAAUAGUCAAACUCAGAGAGACAGAAAGCAGAAUGGUAGUUUCCAGGGGUUGGGGGAGAGAGAAACCAGGAGUUGUCAUUUAAUAGGUACAGAACUUCAGGUUGGGAAAAUGAAAAUUUCUGGAGGUGGCUGGUGGUAACGGUUGCAUGACAGUGUGAACGUACUUAAUGCCAUAGGGCUGUACACUUAAAAUUGGUUAAAAAUAAGUUUUAUAUGUAUUUAAUCACAAUUUUUCAAAUUUAAAGAAAUGGUUAGAAUAGGACUAGGAAUAUAAAAGAAAUGUAUAUGAGAGACUAUUAAGUACAAAGGCGUAGAAAACAAACUGUUAAUGUAUUUUAGCUCUAAAAGUAUGUAUGUAAGGCCUGAAAAUGAUAUGAAAAAUAAAAAUUGUAUUAGUAUACUAGGAUUAUGAGAUUUUUAAAAAUAUUUUGUCCCUUUCUAAUAAUUCAGUAAUUUCCUAUCUCAUUUUUUUUAAUGGGCACCAUAUAAUUCACAAAGUCGCCAAACUUGAUACCCAAACCAGGCAUCCUGAGAGAAGCAUAAGAUAUUAAAAGUAAACAUUUUACUUUUACCAACUUCAUUUAAAAUAAGUAGGAAUUUUGGGUUUGAUAAGUAUUUUGUUGCCUGAUGAAGAGGGAGUUCUUCCUGGGUGCAGUGGCUCAUGCUUGUAAUCCCAGCACUUUGGGAGGCCAAGGCGGGUGGAUCAUCUGAGGCCAGGAGUUUGAGACCAGCCUGGCCAACAUGGUGAAACCCCAUCUCUACUAAAAAUACAAAAAUUGGCCGGGUGGUAGUGGUGCGCACCUGUAAUCCCAGCUACUCAGGAGGCUGAGACAGGAGAAUCGCUUGAGCCUGGUAGGUGGAGGUUAGCGGUGAGCCGAGAUUGCACCACUGCACUCCAGUCUGGGUGACAGAGCAAGACUCUGACUCAAAAAAAAAAAAAAAAAGAGGUAGUUCUUCAAAUGGCUAGAGGUAAAACAGCACACAUCACUAGUAGUAGUAGUCAGAGAUCAAGAAAAUUUAAAUUUAUACGCUUUAUAGUUUAAGUACUGAUUUAGUGUUAAAUUUAAAUAGUGAUUUAAUAUUAAACUUAAAUACUGAUUUAGGUUUAACAUUUGUUCCCCAAUGAGUACACUAGCAGAUUCAUGACUUUCUCUUUAUGAU